rnacentral:rRNA from 1 species
GACGAACGCUGGCGGCGUGCUUAACACAUGCAAGUCGAACGAUGAUGCCCAGCUUGCUGGGCGGAUUAGUGGCGAACGGGUGAGUAACACGUGAGUAACCUGCCCUUGACUUCGGGAUAACUCCGGGAAACCGGGGCUAAUACCGGAUAUGAGCCGUCCUCGCAUGGGGGUGGUUGGAAAGUUUUUCGGUCAGGGAUGGGCUCGCGGCCUAUCAGCUUGUUGGUGGGGUGAUGGCCUACCAAGGCGACGACGGGUAGCCGGCCUGAGAGGGCGACCGGCCACACUGGGACUGAGACACAGCCCAGACUCCUACGGGAGGCAGCAGUGGGGAAUAUUGCACAAUGGGCGAAAGCCUGAUGCAGCGACGCCGCGUGAGGGAUGAAGGCCUUCGGGUUGUAAACCUCUUUCAGCAGGGAAGAAGCGCAAGUGACGGUACCUGCAGAAGAAGCGCCGGCUAACUACGUGCCAGCAGCCGCGGUAAUACGUAGGGCGCAAGCGUUGUCCGGAAUUAUUGGGCGUAAAGAGCUCGUAGGCGGUUUGUCGCGUCUGGUGUGAAAACUCGAGGCUCAACCUCGAGCUUGCAUCGGGUACGGGCAGACUAGAGUGCGGUAGGGGAGACUGGAAUUCCUGGUGUAGCGGUGGAAUGCGCAGAUAUCAGGAGGAACACCGAUGGCGAAGGCAGGUCUCUGGGCCGCAACUGACGCUGAGGAGCGAAAGCAUGGGGAGCGAACAGG